GGUGGGAGAGGGUAGAGCAUGUGCUUAGCAUGCACGAGGUCCUGGGUUCAAUCCCCAGUCCCUCCA
rnacentral:tRNA from 1 species